AAACACUUUAGGCAUAUCUGCAACAUCAUAGAUCGAACGGAGGCAGAACAUGCUGAAGGUUGGGAGUUGAGAAGGCAUUAAAUCCUAUGACUCAGAAGUCUGUGGAUGGGAGAGAGGGGCCAGGCAGCAAGGACAAAGCUCAGAGAGACUUGGGGCUUGCGAGGUCUUUGUAACCUUGUUUCCCUGUAAAGCAGGGUUUCCGACUGAAGCCUUGGCUGGGCCACAGAUCGGGGAAAGGAAUCCCAGAACGGCCAUCAGGAGGCUGUCAGGGCUGGUCACCCUCUCCGGGGCCUGGGCUUGAGCUUUACAAGAAAACAGGACCCUGAAAGCAGAAGCUGGAGGAACCCCGAAGAUGGUACUGGGGAGUCAGCAUGCCACUUCACGGGCCUCGGGAGGGUCUGGCGAUGCUCUGGGUUCGGUGGGCAGGCAACAGGUCACACGGGGAGGAGAAGCUAGGGAGGCAGGUCCUGCAAGUUAGAUCCUGAGUCUGCCAGCUCCCUGCUGGUGGCUUACAAAGCAGGAUUCCCUCCUUCUGAAAAAGCGGAAUGAGCCUUGUGCCUCUUCCUUACUGGCACCUAGAAUAAGACAGGAAGGAACCAGUUUUUCAGAACUGUAGACAUGGGAAAGAGGACAGUGUCCUCUAGUGGCAAUAGCCUGGUACUGCAACUCAGAAGCCAUAAGAUCCAAUAAACCCCAGAUGGUAGCCACAGGUUGUCCGUCCACUCCUCCCUCCUUCUUCUGUGUUUGUAUCCUUCCUCCCUAAGUAAAACCCUCCUGUUUUGUCCAUUUCCCCCUUCAUAUCACCUGUAACCUGCUCGUCCCCUCUCUGUUGCCGCCCUCACCUCCCGCAAUGGUCCCGUUUUACUUUCCCAAUUUCUGAAGUUAUUGAAGAAAUCAAAAUGGGCCAAGAAACACCUAAAACAUGUUCAACUAGGGGAAUGCGCAUCAAAACAACUUCGAGAUUUCAUCUUACCCCAGUAAGAAUGGCAAAGACUGUUAAAACAACUGGCGGCAAAUGAUGGAGGGGGUGUGGGGAAGGGGAACGCUUAUUCGCCACUUGGAUUGCAAACUGGCCCAGCCACUCUGGAAAUCAGUGUGGAGAAUCUUCACAAAGCUAAAGAUCAACCCACCCUCUGAGCCACCUCUGCACCAGGGCCUGAUUCUGUGACCACACUCCACGGGUUCUGUUCAGCCACGCUCAUUGCCCACCGUUGCUAGGAAGUGGGAACAGCCUACAUGUCCUUCAACUGACCAACGGAUAAUGAAAAUGAGUAUAUUCUUGACUACAGAUCUGAUGUGACUAACAGCUCGAGAACCUGCAUUGACUUCCCUGCAGGGAUGGAUUGUAACCUGGAAUUAUAAGAUGAAUAAACCCCUUUGCCCUGUGGUGAUUUGUAAGAAAAUAGCUCCAAAGGGAGUGGCACUGUAAGGAGGUGUGGCUUUGUUGGAGUGGGCAUGGCCUCGUUGGAGGAAGUGUGUCUUUUUGGGGGUGGGCUUUGAGGUCUCAUAUAUGCUAAAGCCAUAACCAAUGUCCCAGAUCACUUCCGGUUGCCUGAAAGAGAUAGGACUCUCAGCUACUUCUCGAGCACCGUUUCUGCCUGCACAGUGCCAUGUCCCACCACGAUGAUAAUGGACUGAACCUCUGAACUGCAUAAGUAUGUACAUAUAUAAGUAUAGUCCCCAUGGAGGCCAGAAGAAGGUGUUGGAUCCCUUGGUGCUGGAAUCACAGGCAGUAGUGAGCUGCCCAAUGUAGGUUCUGGGACCCAAACUCCGGACCUCUGGAAGAGAAGCAAGUACUCUUAACUGCUGAGCCAUCUCUCCAGUCCCUGAUCUAUAAUUUUUAAAAGAGCCAAUUUCAUGAAAAGUAAGGAAAGACUGUAAUUGCUACAGACUGAACGAGAGACAUGAGACACGAUGCCCAAGACCCAGAACCUUCAUCUGGUGAUGGAUGGAGAUAGAGACAGAGACCCACAUUGGAACACUGGACUGAGCUCCCAAUGUUCAAAUGAGGAGCAGAAGGAAGGAGAACAUGAGCAAGGAAGUCAGGACCACGAGGAGUGUGCCCCCUCACUGAGACGGUGGGGCUGAUCUAAUGGGAGCUCACCAAGUCCAGCUGGACUGGGACUGAUGGAGAAUGUGAUCAAACUGGACUCUCUGAAUGUGGCUGAUAAUGAGGUCUGACUGAGAAGCCAAGGACAGUGGCACUGGGUUUUGAUUCUACUGCACGUACUGGCUUUGUGGGAACCUAGUCUGUUUGGAUGUUCACCUUCCUAGACCUGGAUGGAGGGGGGAGGACCUUGGACUUUCCACUGGGCAGGGAACCCUGACUGCUCUUUGGACUGGCAAGGGAA